CGCUAGCGGCAGGCUUAACACAUGCAAGUCGAGGGGUAACAUAGAAAAGCUUGCUUUUCUGAUGACGACCGGCGCACGGGUGCGUAACGCGUAUACAAUCUGCCUUAUACUGGGGUAUAGCCUUUAGAAAUGAAGAUUAACCCCCCAUAGUCUCUUUAAAUGGCAUCAUUUUUAGAGUAAAGGUUACGGUAUAAGAUGAGUAUGCGUUCUAUUAGUUUGUUGGUGAGGUAACGGCUCACCAAGACUGCGAUAGAUAGGGGCCCUGAGAGGGGGAUCCCCCACACUGGUACUGAGACACGGACCAGACUCCUACGGGAGGCAGCAGUGAGGAAUAUUGGACAAUGGAGGCAACUCUGAUCCAGCCAUGCCGCGUGCAGGAAGACUGCCCUAUGGGUUGUAAACUGCUUUUAUACAGGAAGAAACCUUGGUACGUGUACCAAGCUGACG
rnacentral:rRNA from 1 species